UCUGCUUCCAAAAGGCUAAAGGGGACUCUUCUUUUCCCUUGGCUGACCCCCCCCCACCGGCAACAGGGUGGGAUUCAGACAGCUGAUUUACUGUGUUGGAAAGCUGGUGACGAUGGUGUGACACACUGUGACACUCCAGGACCUCAAGGAAUCCCGCCGUGUUUACUGUGUGGUUGCCAGGCAACACAGGACCAUGUUGGAAAAAAGCCACGGAUAGAAAGAGUAGGGCCAGCGUGCAGCACAGGCGCCAUGUUGCUUCCCCCCUUCGUUGAGAAGUUAAAAGUGCUGGCUACGAAAAUGCGUCAGAACGCUUUUACCAUCAUGGCCUCAGCGAGAUGUCCAAUAUGUCCAGCGUGUAACAGCCAAACCUGUUUGUGUCAACGGCUUCGUAUGUUCAAACACGCCGCCAAGAGCGGCAUAUGUUCCUGUGAGAGUGACAGCGACACACACAGAGAUGCAGAGAGGGAGAGGUGUGUGUCCUCGUCACCACUAAACAGCAGCUACUCUAUCAUACAAAUUAAACAACAAAUCAAACAUUAUUUUCUCAUUAAAGGCAGAGAGAGAAUUUGA